rnacentral:snRNA from 2 species
AUACCUUUCUUGGUCUUUUGGCUAAAAUGAAGCGUAAUAUCUGUUCUUAUCAAUAUAAUAUUUGAUAUGUGGGCCACGGCCCACUUGAUAUUAUAUUUUUAGAUGGGGAGGCCCACAGUAUUGCAUUACUGCAUGGCCUUGGCACACCCCAA